rnacentral:rRNA from 1 species
UACGUAGGGUGCGAGCGUUAAUCGGAAUUACUGGGCGUAAAGCGUGCGCAGGCGGUUUUGUAAGUCUGAAGUGAAAUCCCCGGGCUUAACCUGGGAAUUGCGUUGGAGACUGCAAGGCUGGAGUCUGGCAGAGGGGGGUAGAAUUCCACGUGUAGCAGUGAAAUGCGUAGAGAUGUGGAGGAACACCGAUGGCGAAGGCAGCCCCCUGGGUCAAGACUGACGCUCAUGCACGAAAGCGUGGGGAGCAAACAGG